GAUUCUGGCUCAGGAUGAACGCUAGCGACAGGCUUAACACAUGCAAGUCGAGGGCAGCAUAGAAGUAGCAAUACUUGGUGGCGACCGGCGCACGGGUGAGUAACGCGUAUGCAACCUACCUAUCAGAGGGGAAUAACCCGGCGAAAGUCGGACUAAUACCGCAUAAAACAGGGGCACCGCAUGGCGAUAUUUGUUAAAGAAAUUCGCUGAUAGAUGGGCAUGCGUUCCAUUAGGUAGUUGGUGAGGUAACGGCUCACCAAGCCGACGAUGGAUAGGGGAACUGAGAGGUUGGUCCCCCACACUGGUACUGAGACACGGACCAGACUCCUACGGGAGGCAGCAGUGAGGAAUAUUGGUCAAUGGGCGGGAGCCUGAACCAGCCAAGUCGCGUGAAGGAAGAAGGAUCUAUGGUUCGUAAACUUCUUUUGCAGGGGAAUAAAGUGCAGGACGUGUCCUGUUUUGUAUGUACCCUGAGAAUAAGGAUCGGCUAACUCCGUGCCAGCCGCUGC
rnacentral:rRNA from 1 species